GGCGGGGUAGCUCAGGGGUAGAGCAGCGGACUCAUAAGCCGUUGGUCGGCAGUUCGAACCUGCCUCCCGCCACCA
rnacentral:tRNA from 1 species